rnacentral:lncRNA from 1 species
UUUUUUAGAAGCACCAUAAAAGCCGGUAAAAUACGUCAAAUUGGGCAUAUUCAAAUCAAUAUAUUUAAAUUUCAGGAAUAUAAAAUCAAAAUCAAAUUAUGUAAGUUACAAAAGCUGUCUUUGAGAAUUAAAUAUGCAAAAUUUUGCAAAUAUUGGACAAAGAAUAAGCAUUUGGGCAGGUUUUAAAAAACAUAUAUAAACCGUGGACCUGGUCACGACCGUGUGAUAAUCACGCUACACCGGUAUUGCUGAUUUGGAACUGAAAAUUACUACAGAAAUUGGUAGAGUGACUGGAAGAAUAGAAAAACUCUCUGGGAAAGAGUUUGAAUGUGUCGAAUUAUUCAAGAGGUCGUUGUCAAAUGGCAUAUCUGUCGUGCUGAGCGGAGAACCAAUGUCGGACGACGAUCCAAGUAGAGAUAUAUUCUGGGAAAGGGCGUAUGUGGCCGACUUCUUCUGCAACCAGUUUAAUAACACCAUCAUGACACUGUUGCCGUUUAUGAGAUUCCUUCCAACAAAAUACAGAGAGAUGUACCAGAAAGGACAAUCUCUCAAUGCACUCAUAGCUCAACGAUAUUUCUAUGAUAUCAAGAAAACUCAUGUACCAGGUGAAGGCAACAGUAUCGUACAUUAUUAUCUCGAUGAACAGAGGAAAGAAAUUGAAUCCAAUAGAGAACCAUUCUUUACAGAUGACAGAAUACAUGCAAUGAUGUAUGAAACGAUCGUUGCAGGUAUUGCAACGACAUUAUCUGCUCUGACAAGUUCCAUGCUUAUUCUUCUGAACUUUCCGGAAUAUUAGACAAAGAUACAAAAGGAACUUGACCAGCAUGUUGGGCAAGGACGGAUUCCUACUUUCUCCGACAGGGCAAACUGUACAUUCUUGAAGGCGUUUGAGCUGGAAGUUCACCGCUUUGUACCUGUGUUGCCAUUACUUCUGCCUCAUUUGUGUGUGAAACAUGUCGAGUUCGAAGGAUUAGAUAUUGAACCUAACAGUACAGUGAUUGCCAACUUGUGGUUUGUGCACCACGACGAGAAGUUAUGGGGAGACCCAUGGACAUUCAGACCAGAGAGGUUUCUGGACGAACACGGUGAUUUACUUCCAUUUGAUCAUGUAUAUCUGAAGAGUGUAAUGUCUUUUGGCAUAGGACAACGACAGUGUGCUGCGGAACUGUUUGCCAAGACACGUUACUUCCUGUAUAUUGCCACACUUCUACAGCGCUGGAGGUUCGAGUUUCCGCCAGGCAAGGAACAAACAUGUGACCCGAGAUCAGCAGAGGCCUUUGAGACAAAAGCGACCUUGACAGCUAAGCCAUUUUUCUGUUGUGCCAGAGAAAGGAAUAGUUGAGGACGAUUACAGAUAUUGUGAAUCAUGAUAUGUCUCUGUAGUUUAUAAAGGCAUAUUGCAGGAAACAUCCCGUCCUGCCAAAAAUGCCUUUGCCACAUGUUCUGAUAUUCCAAUUUUCUAAAUUAAUAAAAUCAUAUUGUUUUGUCAAAAUAUUCAUACUGAAAUAAUAGAACCGCCAUAUAAUUGCAAGUUACUGUACACCGACUUUUAAACAACAAUAGUUUUUUUUUUAUAUAAUAUUAAAUAUUAAGUAUUUUAAGUUCACUUGGUUCGUUCACUCACAAUUUCAACAAGUUUUCAGAAAGUCCGGUCGGGGAUUUAUUUUGCUGAAGUUACAGUGGCACUGUGUGUAUAAUAUUUGACGUCAGUGUUGAAUUUUUCUGGUUAUAUUUUGUUUCUAGAAAAUGUCGCCCCGAUAAGAAGGUCCUGUAUGAACAAAAAUCCGUCAGCUAAGGCAUACAGGAUUUAUCUUUUCUUGCCCAGUGGCUUUACCUAGAAAAAUGAUAAAACUAGUACCGCAUACUGUCAAAACUUCUAUUUGUCAAACUGUAACACGGUGUUACUCGGAGCCCAGCUUAUUUGUACAGUAGACACAGCCAUCACGUAAAAAUUGGUCCGAAAUUCAGCCGUGUUAUAUUUUUUCAUUCUUUGAAUUCUUUUGCACAAAUAUUAUACUUCAUUAGGUAAAUAUUAUACAUUUUGCUUGUAAUACAGGUUGAAAAAUUUAGAAAAGUGCUAAAAUUAAGUACUUCUUUUUCUGGCGUUGUGACGUGCACCUGUUAAAAUGUAAACAAUGUAAUUAUUUGAAACUAUUUUGAGCAGAAUUUAACGAAUCGCUGACAGCAAAACAUAAACAGUUUGUAUACUUUUAAUAUGUCCUUUAAUGUUAACAUUCACUUGUGCACAUGUAUAUUAUGGCAAGCGUUUGAAUUCCAGGAGUUACAAAGCUUGUCGUCAUUUUUUACCACCUUCAAGCUCGGAGGCAAGGAUGAUUGCUUGAUGCGCGUAGAGGUCUGUUGAACCGUACAAUUCACAGAAACGAAUUCUUCACACAUGUGAGAAAUUCAUGCGAAUAUUUCACAAAAAUCGAACGAAUAUGUCACUAAUUUUAAACCGCC